CUGAGUACGGCGGAACACGUGAAAUUCCGUCGGAAUCCGGGAGGACCAUCUCCCAAGGCUAAAUACUCCCUAGUGACCGAUAGUGAACCAGUACCGUGAGGGAAAGGUGAAAAGCACCCCGGAAGGGGAGUGAAACAGUUCCUGAAACCGUGUGCCUACAAGUAGUUAGAGCCCGUUAAUGGGUGAUAGCGUGCCUUUUGUAGAAUGAACCGGCGAGUUACGAUUUGUUGCAAGGUUAAGCGGAAAAAGCGGAGCCGUAGCGAAAGCGAGUCUGAAUAGGGCGCAUAAGUAACAGGUCGUAGACCCGAAACCAGGUGAUCUACCCAUGUCCAGGAUGAAGGUAAGGUAAUACUUACUGGAGGUCCGAACCCACGCACGUUGAAAAGUGCGGGGAUGAGGUGUGGGUAGCGGAGAAAUUCCAAUCGAACUUGGAGAUAGCUGGUUCUCUCCGAAAUAGCUUUAGGGCUAGCCUCGAGGUAAAGAGUCAUGGAGGUAGAGCACUGUUUGGACUAGGGGCCCUUCUCGGGUUACCGAAUUCAGAUAAACUCCGAAUGCCAUGUACUUAUACUCGGGAGUCAGACUGCGAGUGAUAAGAUCCGUAGUCGAAAGGGAAACAGCCCAGACCACCAGUUAAGGUCCCCAAAUAUAUGUUAAGUGGAAAAGGAUGUGGGGUUGCUUAGACAACCAGGAUGUUGGCUUAGAAGCAGCCACCAUUGAAAGAGUGCGUAAUAGCUCACUGGUCGAGUGACCCCGCGCCGAAAAUGUACCGGGGCUAAACAUAUUACCGAAACUGUGGAUGAACCUCUUUAGAGGUUCGUGGUAGGAGAGCGUUCUAAGGGCGGUGAAGUCAGACCGGAAGGACUGGUGGAGCGCUUAGAAGUGAGAAUGCCGGUAUGAGUAGCGAAAGAAGGGUGAGAAUCCCUUCCACCGAAUAUCUAAGGUUUCCUGAGGAAGGCUCGUCCGCUCAGGGUUAGUCGGGACCUAAGCCGAGGCCGAUAGGCGUAGGCGAUGGACAACAGGUAGAGAUUCCUGUACCAGUGCUAAUUGUUUAACCGAUGGGGUGACACAGAAGGAUAGGGAAUCGCACGAAUGGAAAUGUGCGUCCAAGCAGUGAGUGUGAGAAGUAGGCAAAUCCGCUUCUCGCGAAGCAUGAGCUGUGAUGGGGAAGGAAAUUAAGUACGGAAGUUCCUGAUUUCACGCUGUCAAGAAAAGCCUCUAGGAAGAGUAGUACUGCCCGUACCGCAAACCGACACAGGUAGAUGAGGAGAGAAUCCUAAGGUGAGCGAGAGAACUCUCGUUAAGGAACUCGGCAAAAUGACCCCGUAACUUCGGGAGAAGGGGUGCUCUAUUA
rnacentral:rRNA from 1 species